CCUACGGGAGGCUGCAGUGGGGAAUAUUGGACAAUGGGCGAAAGCCUGAUCCAGCCAUGCCGCGUGUGUGAAGAAGGCCUUCGGGUUGUAAAGCACUUUCAGUGGGGAAGAAAGCCUUGGGGCUAAUACCCUCGAGGAAGGACAUCACCCACAGAAGAAGCACCGGCUAACUCCGUGCCAGCAGCCGCGGUAAUACGGAGGGUGCGAGCGUUAAUCGGAACUACUGGGCGUAAAGCGCGCGUAGGCGGUCUGAUAAGCCGGUUGUGAAAGCCCCGGGCUCAACCUGGGAACGGCAUCCGGAACUGUCAGGCUAGAGUGCAGGAGAGGAAGGUAGAAUUCCCGGUGUAGCGGUGAAAUGCGUAGAGAUCGGGAGGAAUACCAGUGGCGAAGGCGGCCUUCUGGACUGACACUGACGCUGAGGUGCGAAAGCGUGGGUAGCAAACAGGAUUAGAUACCCCUGUAGUC
rnacentral:rRNA from 1 species